UACGUAGGGUGCAGGCGUUAAUCGGAAUUACUGGGCGUAAAGCGUGCGCAGGCGGUCUUUUAAGUCAGAUGUGAAAUCCCCGGGCUUAACCUGGGAACUGCGUUUGAAACUGGAAGGCUUGAGUGUGGCAUAGGGGGGUGGAAUUCCACGUGUAGCAGUGAAAUGCGUAGAUAUGUGGAGGAACACCGAUGGCGAAGGCAGCCCCCUGGGCUAACACUGACGCUCAUGCACGAAAGCGUGGGGAGCAAACAGG
rnacentral:rRNA from 1 species